rnacentral:rRNA from 1 species
AGUCAAUUAGCUCCAAGAAGUCACCUCACCAAGAGGUCGCCCAAGGAGUGAGUUGGUAACGUGGGUGG